GACGAACGCUGGCGGCGUGCUUAACACAUGCAAGUCGAACGGAAAGGCCCUGCUUUUGUGGGGUGCUCGAGUGGCGAACGGGUGAGUAACACGUGAGUAACCUGCCCUUGACUUUGGGAUAACUUCAGGAAACUGGGGCUAAUACCGGAUAGGAGCUCCUGCUGCAUGGUGGGGGUUGGAAAGUUUCGGCGGUUGGGGAUGGACUCGCGGCUUAUCAGCUUGUUGGUGGGGUAGUGGCUUACCAAGGCUUUGACGGGUAGCCGGCCUGAGAGGGUGUCCGGCCACAUUGGGACUGAGAUACGGCCCAGACUCCUACGGGAGGCAGCAGUGGGGAAUAUUGCACAAUGGGCGGAAGCCUGAUGCAGCAACGCCGCGUGCGGGAUGACGGCCUUCGGGUUGUAAACCGCUUUCGCCUGUGACGAAGCGUGAGUGACGGUAAUGGGUAAAGAAGCACCGGCUAACUACGUGCCAGCAGCCGCGGUGAUACGUAGGGUGCGAGCGUUGUCCGGAUUUAUUGGGCGUAAAGGGCUCGUAGGUGGUUGAUCGCGUCGGAAGUGUAAUCUUGGGGCUUAACCCUGAGCGUGCUUUCGAUACGGGUUGACUUGAGGAAGGUAGGGGAGAAUGGAAUUCCUGGUGGAGCGGUGGAAUGCGCAGAUAUCAGGAGGAACACCAGUGGCGAAGGCGGUUCUCUGGGCCUUUCCUGACGCUGAGGAGCGAAAGCGUGGGGAGCGAACAGGCUUAGAUACCCUGGUAGUCCACGCUGUAAACGGUGGGUACUAGGUGUGGGGUCCAUUCCACGGGUUCCGUGCCGUAGCUAACGCUUUAAGUACCCCGCCUGGGGAGUACGGCCGCAAGGCUAAAACUCAAAGGAAUUGACGGGGCCCCGCACAAGCGGCGGAGCAUGCGGAUUAAUUCGAUGCAACGCGUAGAACCUUACCUGGGUUUGACAUGGAUCGGGAGUGCUCAGAGAUGGGUGUGCCUCUUUUGGGGUCGGUUCACAGGUGGUGCAUGGCUGUCGUCAGCUCGUGUCGUGAGAUGUUGGGUUAAGUCCCGCAACGAGCGCAACCCUUGUUCACUGUUGCCAGCACGUUAUGGUGGGGACUCAGUGGAGACCGCCGGGGUCAACUCGGAGGAAGGUGGGGAUGACGUCAAGUCAUCAUGCCCCUUAUGUCCAGGGCUUCACGCAUGCUACAAUGGCUGGUACAGAGAGUGGCGAGCCUGUGAGGGUGAGCGAAUCUCGGAAAGCCGGUCUCAGUUCGGAUUGGGGUCUGCAACUCGACCUCAUGAAGUCGGAGUCGCUAGUAAUCGCAGAUCAGCAACGCUGCGGUGAAUACGUUCCCGGGGCU
rnacentral:rRNA from 1 species